rnacentral:misc_RNA from 1 species
GUUCUGUCUAUUGGACUUGGACUUGGAGGUUGCCAGUCACAUUGGCUCCUCUUAAAGGCAUUAGCUGGAACCUUAAGUGAAUCUCUGGUGUAAUAAUUUCUACUCCGUAAGAUCACUGCAAGGAUCUGCUUCUAAUCGUCCACUUUGGACAAUCCUUGACAUCUGACCUCAAAUCAGGUAGGACUACCCGCUGAACUUAA